GAUGAAGAACGUAGCGAAAUGCGAUAAGUAGUGUGAAUUGCAGAAUUCAGUGAAUCAUCGAAUCUUUGAACGCACAUUGCGCCCCUUGGUAUUCCAUGGGGCAUGCCUGUUCGAGCGUCAUUUGUACCUUCAAGCUCUGCUUGGUGUUGGGUGUUUGUCUCGCCUCUGCGUGUAGACUCGCCUCAAAACAAUUGGCAGCCGGCGUAUUGAUUUCGGAGCGCAGUACAUCUCGCGCUUUGCACUCAUAACGACGACGUCCAAAAGUACAUUUUUACACUCUUGACCUCGGAUCAGGUAUGGAUACCCGCUGAACUUAAGCAUAUCAAUAAGCGGAGGA
rnacentral:misc_RNA from 1 species